rnacentral:rRNA from 1 species
AGAGUUUGAUCCUGGCUCAGGACGAACGCUGGCGGCGCGCCUAACACAUGCAAGUCGAACGGAGCUUAGAGAGCUUGCUUUUUAAGCUUAGUGGCGAACGGGUGAGUAACGCGUGAGUAACCUGCCCUAGAGUGGGGGACAACAGUUGGAAACGACUGCUAAUACCGCAUAAGCCCACGGUACCGCAUGGUACUGAGGGAAAAGGAUUUAUUCGCUUUAGGAUGGACUCGCGUCCAAUUAGCUAGUUGGUGAGGUAACGGCCCACCAAGGCGACGAUUGGUAGCCGGACUGAGAGGUUGAACGGCCACAUUGGGACUGAGACACGGCCCAGACUCCUACGGGAGGCAGCAGUGGGGAAUAUUGCACAAUGGGGGAAACCCUGAUGCAGCGACGCCGCGUGGAGGAAGAAGGUCUUCGGAUUGUAAACUCCUGUUGUUGAGGAAGAUAAUGACGGUACUCAACAAGGAAGUGACGGCUAACUACGUGCCAGCAGCCGCGGUAAAACGUAGGUCACAAGCGUUGUCCGGAAUUACUGGGUGUAAAGGGAGCGCAGGCGGGAAGACAAGUUGGAAGUGAAAUCCAUGGGCUCAACCCAUGAACUGCUUUCAAAACUGUUUUUCUUGAGUAGUGCAGAGGUAGGCGGAAUUCCCGGUGUAGCGGUGGAAUGCGUAGAUAUCGGGAGGAACACCAGUGGCGAAGGCGGCCUACUGGGCACCAACUGACGCUGAGGCUCGAAAGUGUGGGUAGCAAACAGGAUUAGAUACCCUGGUAGUCCACACCGUAAACGAUGAUUACUAGGUGUUGGAGGAUUGACCCCUUCAGUGCCGCAGUUAACACAAUAAGUAAUCCACCUGGGGAGUACGACCGCAAGGUUGAAACUCAAAGGAAUUGACGGGGGCCC